GGGCGAGUGGUGAAACUGGUAGACACGCCAGUCUUAGGAACUGGUGCUCGCAAGAGCUUGUGGGUUCGACUCCCACCCCGCCCA
rnacentral:tRNA from 1 species